GUGAAUCAUCGAAUUUUUGAACGCAAAUUGCACUUUCUGGUAUUCCGGAAAGUAUGCCUGUUUGAGGGUCAGUUAAAUAAAAAUCGGAGUUGUUGUUGCCUUUCGUGGUGACGCGUCGGAAUUGAGUUGUCUUACCUUCGGUUAUGUGUCUUAAAAUUUUGCAUGAUUUUCGAUCGUAUUUAAAUUGCUUAUGUACGUUUGAGAUAUCGAAUACUUUAUUAGGUUGGUUCAUGUUCAUGUUUUGCGCCUAUAUUUUUUUCAUUAA
rnacentral:misc_RNA from 1 species